AAGGCCUGAUGUGUGUGAGAUUACCCGCUGAAUUUAAGCAUAUAAGUAAGCGGAGGAAAAGAAACUAACUAGGAUUCCCUUAGUAAUGGCGAAUGAACAGGGAUCAGCUCAGUGCCAAAUCGGAAUCACUUGUGGUUCUGAAAUGUGGCUUGAAGGCAGUACCAGUGGCAUCGCGGACGAAAGUCUCUUGGAAAAGAGCGUCAUAGAGGGUGAGAAUCCCGUGAGUCGUUCGCCGUUUGUCACGUACGGUCUGCGUUCUAACGAGUCGCGUUCCUUGGGAUUGGAGCGUAAACGGGUGGUAAAUUUCAUCCAAAGCAAAAUAUAUACUCGAGACCGAUAGCACAAAAGUACCGUGAGGGAAAGGUGAAAAGAACUUUGAGAAGAGGGUUAAAUAGUGCCUGAAAUCGUUGAGAAGGAAGCGGAUGCCGCCGUUGCAUAUGCUGAUUGUAGGAUUGCUGCUCGCUCCUGUCUUCUGCUACUCAUUCACAGACCUGGUCGUGUUGAGCAGUUGUUUGGCAGAUGUUAGUGGUGUUUCCUACUUUCAGUCGUCAGCAUCACUGGCUGAGUGGAAAUAAUCCUUGGAUGCUAAUUGGUUCGCUAUCUGUGAAUUGGUUGCUUCCUUGCGAUACUCACUACUCGGUCAGUGAGGAAGUGCGUUUGCUGGUCAACGAGCUUUCUAACUGUCAUUACCCUGCGCUUUUCGAUUCGUCGAGUGGCCAGGAUGUGGCUUUGAGAUUGUUCGCACUUAGUAAUCGCGAUGCUGGCUUCCAACGGUUGCCUCCGGCCCGUCUUGAAACACGGACCAAGGAGUCUAACGUAUGUGCGAGUGUGUGAGUGGCAAACUUAUACGCGUAAUGAAA
rnacentral:ncRNA from 1 species